UGGGGGGUGGUGUAACCGGCAACACGCCAACCUUUGGAGUUGGAAUCCAGGGUUCGAUCCCCUGCCCCCCAGCCA
rnacentral:tRNA from 1 species